GUGCUCACUUUGGUAGCAUAGAAGCUAAAAACUGGAACAUUACAAAGAUGAUAAGUAUAGUCCUGAUCUGCAGAUGGAUGACAUGCAAAUUCAUGAAGCACGCCAUAUUUUC
ensembl:snRNA U6 U6 spliceosomal RNA